CUUUUAGAAAACAGAAACCAGGUAUCCUUCAUUUCUCUAAAUUCCCAGGACUCCAGUGAAAGAUCUGAGACAGAGCAGGAGAGUGCAGGUUUUAUCCCUUGAAUUGAGGAGAAAUCCAAUCUGGAGGCUUCAUGUUCAUUAAAAAGGCCUACGGCAUUGGUUGGAAGUGUCAGAUGCUGGCCUGUCCAAAUUCCAGCGGGGAUAAUUGCAUUCUGACAAUUUUGAGAUCCCCUGUACUCUUCAGUUGGAUAAGACACAGGGGAACUAAUGUGCCAUGACCUGCCCUCAUAUUCAUAUUCCAGCAAGACACCUCUGUAAAAUCAUUUGUUUAAUAUUAAGG